rnacentral:rRNA from 1 species
AAUAGAUACCCGGGUAGUCCACGCCGUAAACGUUGGGCGCUAGGUGUGGGGGUCCUUCCACGAUCUCCGUGCCGCAGCUAACGCAUUAAGCGCCCCGCCUGGGGAGUACGGCCGCAAGGCUAAAACUCAAAGGAAUUGACGGGGGCCCGCACAAGCGGCGGAGCAUGCGGAUUAAUUCGAUGCAACGCGAAGAACCUUACCAAGGCUUGACAUGCACGGGUAACUUCCAGAGAUGGUUGCCCCGUAAGGUCCGUGCACAGGUGGUGCAUGGUUGUCGUCAGCUCGUGUCGUGAGAUGUUGGGUUAAGUCCCGCAACGAGCGCAACCCUUGUCUCAUGUUGCCAGCAAUUCGGUUGGGGACUCAUGAGAGACUGCCGGGGUCAACUCGGAGGAAGGUGGGGAUGACGUCAAAUCAUCAUGCCCCUUAUGUCUUGGGCUUCACGCAUGCUACAAUGGCCGGUACAAAGGGCUGCGAAACCGUGAGGUGGAGCGAAUCCCAAAAAGCCGGUCUCAGUUCGGAUUAGGGUCUGCAACUGACCCC